ACUUCCUCACACACAUUUCUUUCGCUUUCCUCUCUCGGAAUAAAAGAAAAUAGGGUUGAGCCAAAGUUGGUGCUAGAGAAGAAAAGGAAAGGAAAUAGGAAAAGAGAAAGUAUCACCAUUAAAAAAAAGCUGUGGUUGCGCAGAAGGUUAGUGACAUUGAUCCACAAAAAGUCCAACAAACUCUUCCAAAUGAAAAUUUGUACAGCUAAAAGAGUCCAUUAGCAUUGUCAUUUUAGAAGGAAAAGAAAAGGACAUUUUUCAUUUUGAAUAAUGUAAAAUAGGUGAGCUUAUCCCGGGUGAUUUGAACAACCCCCUAAUCAACCUUUCCAUUCCCCUCCAAGGAAGGAAUAAUUUACCAACUUCCCUUUCCCGCGGGUUUUUCUACUUCGAGUACUGAUCAUCUGAACCUCCAUCUAAGAUCCAACCAUUUUAGCAUAAGCGAUACUUGUACAACAAAGUCAAGGGUAAAACCCAACAUAAUCUUCAACCAUCUCUUUAUUCCUCUAUUCAUGGCCGUCAAAACCUCCAUCCAAUGCACUGAAAGAAAUGGAGAUUUCAACGAUCGUGAAUGACGCUCAUACUCGACCCGCCAAGUUCACCUCUACUUUCUUCGGCGGAGAUGUGUCUUACAGGGUUAGGGUUAGUGUUAGGAAUUUGGAAUUAUGUUAUUCUCUGAAGGUUAACACAUUCUCUGUGGAUGUCAAUAUCCAAUUCAUGUUUGAAUAAGUGGCUCCCCUCGCUUACCAAAUAUUUUAAUUUCAGAAUUUCAAUUAUAGGAUCUAGAUGGGGGAGUUGUUUGAUGGCCAUUCAAAUUACGAACAAUUACAAAUGACUAACACAACACAAAGCAUGUCUUCCUGAAGUUUAUUUUACCAUAAUACGAAAUGCUUCCAGUAUUUUAUCUGUUCACGGGUUGCUUUCACGCAUCCCAAUCGAGGUCGAUGAGUAGUUCUGUGUUAGUAACUUAGGCCCAUUUUACCAGCUCAAGCUUGGACUAUCUGCUUUCGUGUCCUACCCUGUAAAACUAGUAGGCCUAAAUUGUUACUUUUCUUUUUCUUCUUUAUAUAUCUGAAUCACGACAUUGUUGUUGGAUCAUUGAAUCACGACAUUGUUGUUGGAUCAUUGAAUCACGACAUCGUUUGUUCAAUGUUUAGGCACCAUCAAAUACGUGGUACCAUUUGAUUCCAAUAAAAUGCAUUUGACCCUGUUUCUAGUUUUAACAAAUAAAUAAAAUUAGUCCUUAAUGUGUCAUUUGUUAUAUGCCAACAUAGAGAGAAGAGAGCAAUUUUCUAGUGAACAUAAGUUUUGUUGGUCAAUUAACGGCCUUUUUCAGAAACCCUACCUUUUAAAAUCUGUGGUGUUAAAAGAUUACUAUAUGAAUGGUAUAUUCAUCGUGUUAGAAGAUUAUUGUACGAAGGCAAUACUCAUGGGCUUUGCUUAAGAAGUUUCGUCCGUUCUCGCCAAGAAAUCCUGUGGGUUUAGGGAGUGUUUGUCUGGACUCUGGAGGAAGAAUUGGAAUGUCGGAUUGUUUUUGCCUUGUUAUUCUUUUCCUCUCAAAAUUCAAAUAUAAGGUAGGGGCUGUUUGUGACCGCAUCGGGUUGCGGUUUGUAAGUUAAUGUAAUCUUAACAUGAAAUACAUGUUUGGAUGGAGCAUUUUGUUUUCAAUUCUUCCUCGACUCCUUACACAUCUUAAUAUCCCUUAGAAGUUAGAACAGAUCCCUUAGAAGUUAGAACUAUAAAUUUCCAGUAAUUCUGAUUACUAACUAGCACCCCAAAUAACCCCUAAAGAUAAAUUUAGUCACAAAAAGUGGAACCAAAAGCCGCAAAAGCAACGUACAACUCCUGCUGUGAACAUAAUUAGCAAAAACUUCAUAUUGCUAUCUUUAUGCUCCAUUCUCUUUUGAUUUUGAUUCUUAGACGAUAAUAUUUUCACAUUACAUUUUAGUAUGAGAUAUUUUCUCUAUCUUUGCCCCUUAGUACGGUAAGUAGUGGAUACAUUUGGGUUUUAUGGUAGAUUACUAGAAAACUUCAGAAGUAAGAUAGUAUUUUAAUAGUUUGUGCUGAAAAGAAAAUUACCCAUGAUGAUCCUUAAACUCUUGUUUUCGUGAGUUCUCAUUAUAACAAGUUUGAGUAUUUCUGAGUUAUGAUCUUACUGCAAUUUGGUGUUAUAUUAGGAUAGCUGUCUCCUACUAUCUGACAUUGUCGACUUUGAACAAUUGGACUUAAGCUUAUGUAGUUCGAUUAUUAGGCUAAUCUAUUUCCACUUGAAACAAAAAACACUUCUACAGUUUGUUGAAAUCUCUUGGACUUAAUCGUAGAGGAAAAUUUUAUCGAGUCUAGAGAAGCAUACCAAACUCAAGAUACAGCAUACCUCCCGGUGGAUAUUCCCAAGCUUCGUAAGUCUUAACAUAUUAUGUGAUGUUCAACCGCCAAGCUUUGAAGAAGGGAACCCAACAAGGACAAGUUUCAGAAAUAACCCCUUCAUCUUCACCAAUCACCAAUCAGGCAAAAUCCUCACCUCACUAAUACGAUGAGAGUAAACAUAAUGAAUCAUUAGAAUCUGUACAGGACAGAUUCCAUAAUUCUCCAUCAUUUCUGUUCUGGAAACUAUUCACAGUGAAGGAAUCGAUACAAUUAUUGAACAGAACAUAACUUGUGAUUUUAAUAGAAAACUUAAGAAAUAAAAGCAAGGAAGAGAGUUGCAGGAACGGAUGGGAGAAAGAAUGAGUGUCGGUUUCUCAAAGAUGCAUGUGGGCAGACACUUUGAAAUGUUUAAUCACUCAUUAUUUCUUUCCACCA